ACGCUCGACACCUACGGGAGGGCAGCAGUGGGGAAUAUUGCACAAUGGGGGAAACCCUGAUGCAGCGACGCCGCGUGAAGGAUGAAGUAUUUCGGUAUGUAAACUUCUAUCAGCAGGGAAGAAAGUGACGGUACCUGACUAAGAAGCCCCGGCUAACUACGUGCAAGCAGCCGCGGUAAUCUGAGCGGGCUGGCAAGGC
rnacentral:rRNA from 1 species